rnacentral:rRNA from 1 species
UGGGGAAUAUUGCACAAUGGGGGAAACCCUGAUGCAGCGACGCCGCGUGAACGAAGAAGGUAUUCGUAUCGUAAAGUUCUGUCCUAUGGGAAGAUAAUGACAGUACCAUAGAAGAAAGCUCCGGCUAAAUACGUGCCAGCAGCCGCGGUAAUACGUAUGGAGCGAGCGUUGUCUGGAAUUAUUGGGCGUAAAGGGUACGCAGGCGGUUUAAUAAGUCGAAUGUUAAAGAUCGGGGCUCAACCCCGUAAAGCAUUGGAAACUGAUAAACUUGAGUAGUGGAGAGGAAAGUGGAAUUCCUAGUGUAGUGGUGAAAUACGUAGAUAUUAGGAGGAAUACCAGUAGCGAAGGCGACUUUCUGGACACAAACUGACGCUGAGGUACGAAAGCGUGGGGAGCAAACAGG